UUCAGACGAUGCGUCAUGCAUAUCAAUAAGCGGAGGAAAAGAAACUAACUAAGGAUUCCCUCAGUAACGGCGAGUGAAGCGGGAAGAGCUCAAAUUUGAAAUCUUCAAGGGUUCUACCUUGACGAAUUGUAGUUUAAAGAAGUGUUUUCUGUUAGAGUUUUCGGUAAAAGUUCUUUGGAAUAGGACAUCAUAGAGGGUGAGAAUCCCGUAUUUGACCAUUAUUUCCAGCUUUGUGAUACACUUUCAAAGAGUCGGAUUGUUUGGGAAUGCAGUCCAAAAUGGGUGGUAAAUUUCAUCUAAAGCUAAAUAUUGGCGAGAGACCGAUAGCGAACAAGUACCGUGAGGGAAAGAUGAAAAGAACUCUGAAAAGAGAGUUAAACAGUACGUGAAAUUGUCAAAAGGGAAGCGUUUGACACCAGUGUUGUUUACUCGAAAGUCAAUUAAAAAAGGCAGGAUUUUGUGUUGUAUUGACUUUAUCAGCUUUCUGCACUCUUUUCUUGUCUUUUUUUAAUGCACUUUUCGUUUAACAAGUCAACAUCAAUUUCUUUUGUUGUAAAAGGGUCAGUAGGAAGGUGGCUUUCUUUUCGGAGAAAGUGUUUAUAGCCUUUGGCCUCUGCAAUCGGAGAGAUUGAGGUCUGCAGCGUAGAUCCUUCGGGGUUAGAUACAUUUGUGCUAAGUUAUAGCCUUUCAUAGACAACUUGUUGACUAUGAUCAGUCAUGUAGCUUACUCGCUUAUGCUAUUUUACCUACGCUUAGGAUGUUGAUCUACAGAGCGAGAGU
rnacentral:rRNA from 1 species